ACGGAGGGUGCUAGCGUUGUUCGGAAUCACUGGGCGUAAAGGGCGUGUAGGCGGUCUGUUAAGUCUGGUGUGAAAUCCCCUCGCUCAACGAGGGAACGGCGCCGGAUACUGGCAGACUCGAGUACCGGAGAGGAAGGUGGAAUUCCCGGUGUAGAGGUGAAAUGCGUAGAUAUCGUUUGGAACGCCAACGGUGAAAACAGCUCGCUGGGGGUGUGCUGACGCUGAGACACGAAAGCCAGGGGAGCGAACGGGA
rnacentral:rRNA from 1 species